CGAUUCGUCUCAACGUACCGGGUGGAUCUAGGGUUAGCCUUGUUCUAGAAAUUAGUCUAAGUAUCCAAGAUGUAGGGUUCAUCCCCCAGGAAGGAGUAGGGGACCAAUGGUGGCCUUGAAUUGGUAAUAAGCUGGAUGACCCUCCGGGAGAUUGAGUGAUCACUCGAAAGUACUCGUGAAGAGACUCCGAGGAAAGCACGAAAAAAGAUUGCGAAGUGUUCCGUCCUUUGAUAGACAAAAAAGGGCGUGAAAUUGAAUUAUUAUUAUUAUUAUUAGUAUAUUGGGGACUCGGAUGAGUGGAUGAAGAAAGAAUAUAUGUUUGACAUCUGUUUGGGAAAUCCCCGGGGAAUUUUCCCCACCACGACCUCCAAUUUCCUCAAAAUUAUUUCCAAAGUCGUGAAAUCCCAUAGUUUACUUCCCGUUGAUAAUUAUCCACAAUAAAAAAAUUCUUUUAAUAUCUUUACAACUUAAUUCCUUACAAGCCAUGUUCAAUCUUGACGACUCAUUCACAGGGUCACUUUUAUGACACCAUGGUUCCCUCUCCGGUACAAGUACCCAUUCCCUAGCCUGAAGUCUAUUUGCUCAUAAGUUUCGAUUUUGCGUUUACAAGUAAACGAAAAUGCACUUUUCGAUCUGAACGCAAACGUAGCAGCAGUGACAACUAUAUAUAUAUAUAUAUAUAUAGUUGUAUAGUUGUUGUAUAUAUGUAUAUAUAUAGGGAUACUGGAAAAAUUCACUCUCAAAUUAACCAGAAACACCGGCUAGCUUUUUUAAGGCAUCAAAUUUUCUAUAACGAGUCAAGAAUUUUUUAUAACAAGAAGCAAGUUACAUUACAAUUUAUACAUGAAAUGACGUUGUCAUUUAUAUGGAUGCAGUAGAAUCUAGAAAUCUAUAACAUUUGUUCCAUGCAUGGUUGUCAAUUGGAAAGUAUCUGUUGCAUAUUCCAAAGAGUAUUCGAUGUAUAUUAUUGCCUUUGAUUUAAUUUCACGUGUAUAUUGCCGGAGUGUAUUUUGUUGUGCAAAAAUAAGUCUCAUCCGUUGUUGUUGUCAGGAGAAAUCAGGAAAUUAAUUGAUGAAUUCAGGAGACGAAGAGUGGAUCCAAGGCCUUGGAAACUUGCUCGAAAAUGUCAUCAAUUGUACCUUCGGCGUUUAUCUGCGUGAACAUAAAUUUAUAAUAUAUAAAACAGGUUCAGGAACCAAAUUCAUUAUCAUUUAAUAAAAAUAAUAUGUCAUUCAAUAACAUGUUUUCUUCAAUUUUGGAAUAAGUAUUCUUAUUUUGGGAAUGACAUGUUUUUCAUUCAAAAAGUCUCAAUGAGUUUUCAGAGGUCGAGUGAACAGGCCAAUAGCAAGAGUCGAACCAACGUUUGGAAAAUUUUCUCUUUGAUCGAUUAUUACCAAUAAGCACUGAGCUAUCUGAUUGGCACCGAAGUAAAAAAUAAGUUAUGGUACAGAAAAUGCUCACUAAUCAUAUCUCGUGAGCUAAACGAACACGGAAUCGCAAAUUAUGGAAUUUAGAAUGCACUGAGAAUUUAUUCUGGUUACGGUGAAACCAAAUUCCAGAAUAAAGGACGCCGGUACACAGUGAAAAUAUUAAAUAUGUUAUCGUGGGAAUAUAGCAAUCGAAAACUCGACCCGACAUUCUCGAAAUUUACUGUUACUUACAUGACUGGGUACAGUAAACAUUUAUAGAAUAAAAGUGAAAUGUAACUCGACCAAAAAAAAUUCGGUUAAGAUACAAUAAAUUUUUAAUUUUG